rfam:Octopus bimaculoides Scaffold111874_contig_225, whole genome shotgun sequence.
AACAGUUUAGCUUGAUGGUAGAGCACUUGACCGGAAAUCAAAGGGAUGUGAGUUGGAUUCUCAUGACUGGUU